rnacentral:lncRNA from 1 species
GCGGUUGGCGGCGGUGGCCGAGUCGGCCUUGAGCAGGCUCUGGCCGGCCUUGAUGUUGAUCAGGUCCUUGACCGCGUACGUGUUGGCGUUGGUGGUGGAGGCGGCGGCGGCGGCCAGUGUCAGGUAGAAGGUCUGCUUGUCGGCGCCCAGGUAGCAGGCGGAGAAGACCGCCGCGGUCUUGGGCGUGGUGGUGCCGGUGGCGUACAGCUGGAAGAUGUUGUUGCAGUCGGCGGGGGACAGGCCGGAGCUGGGCACGGAGGCGGCCACGGGCAGCGUCACCUGGAGCGACUUGGGGCCAGUCAGGGUGGCGGAGCUGAUGGAGGGGUAGAUUACGACGGCACCGCUGGGCUUGGUGGUGUACAGAAGAGUGAUGGCAGCUGUGGGCUUCAG